rnacentral:rRNA from 1 species
AUUGAACGCUGGCGGCAUGCCUUACACAUGCAAGUCGAACGGCAGCACGGGAGCAAUCCUGGUGGCGAGUGGCGAAUGGGUGAGUAAAGUAUCGGAACGUGCCCAGUCGUGGGGGAUAACGUAGCGAAAGUUACGCUAAUACCGCAUACGAUCUAUGGAUGAAAGCGGGGGAUCGCAAGACCUCGCGCGAUUGGAGCGGCCGAUAUCAGAUUAGGUAGUUGGUGGGGUAAAGGCUCACCAAGCCGACGAUCUGUAGCUGGUCUGAGAGGACGACCAGCAACACUGGGACUGAGACACGGCCCAGACUCCUACGGGAGGCAGCAGUGGGGAAUUUUGGACAAUGGGCGCAAGCCUGAUCCAGCCAUGCCGCGUGCAGGAUGAAGGCCUGCGGGUUGUAAACUGCUUUUGUACGGAACGAAAAGGUUUGACUUAAUACGUUGGACUCAUGACGGUACCGUAAGAAUAAGCACCGGCUAACUACGUGCCAGCCGCCGCAGUAA